rnacentral:miRNA from 1 species
UGGGUCUUCAGCUGUUUUUGGACUACAUAUCCCAUCAUCACUGACCAAUGGUCCUGCUAGCUAGGGAUGGUGGGAGUUGUAGUCCUAAAACAGCUGGAGACCCA